GCGUGGAUGAAGAAGGUCUUCGGAUUGUAAAGUCCUUUCGGCGGGGACGAUGAUGACGGUACCCGCAGAAGAAGCCCCGGCUAACUUCGUGCCAGCAGCCGCGGUAAUACGAAGGGGGCUAGCGUUGCUCGGAAUGACUGGGCGUAAAGGGCGCGUAGGCGGAUUGAUUAGUUAGGCGUGAAAUUCCUGGGCUUAACCUGGGGGCUGCGCUUAAUACAGUCAGUCUAGAGUGUGGAAGAGGGUCGUGGAAUUCCCAGUGUAGAGGUGAAAUUCGU
rnacentral:rRNA from 1 species